GGCCCCGUCUGAGGUCUGGCAGUCAGAGACAGAGCCGGGCGCCCACGGCCCGAGCGCCCACGGCAGCACCAUGCCCGCACUCCUGGAGCGCCCCAAGCUUUCCAACGCCAUGGCCAGGGCGCUGCACCGGCACAUUAUGAUGGAGCGGGAGCGCAAGCGGCAGGGUGAGCCGGGGCCAUAGCGGGGGGACAGACGGCCCAGAAUGGCUCCUGUACCUCAAGGCUGGCCUCAACCCACCGGCCAACCAGCGCGCCCGCUGCCGAGCGCAGAGGAGGGAAGUAAUAGCCCCGUUGUGGUGGGAUUUAAGCGUCCUGUUCCACGCUCCAGAACCCUUGAGAUGGGAAGGACCUUGGAGAGCACCUGAUAAAUCCUCUCCGUUCCCUAUUGCCGCGAAGGGGAGCUUGUCCCUUCGAGGCAGAGAGCACACAGGCGUGUUGGGAUGACUGGGUUUUGCUGGUCUUCAAUCUGUAACGUUGGAAUUGUUUUCACUACCCUGCCUCUUCUUCAUUCUGCCUGAUUCUCCAGAGGAAGAAGAGGUGGAUAAGAUGAUGGAACAGAAGAUGAAGGAAGAACAGGAGAGAAGGAAGAAAAAGGAGAUGGAAGAGAGAAUGUCACUAGAGGAGACCAAGGAACAAAUUCUGAAGUUGGAGGAGAAGCUUUUGGCCUUACAGGAAGAGAAGCACCAGCUUUUCCUGCAGCUCAAGAAAGUUUUACAUGAGGAAGAAAAACGGAGGCGAAAGGAACAGAGUGACCUGACCACCCUGACAUCCGCUGCAUACCAGCAGAGCCUGACUGUUCACACAGGAACUCAUCUCCUCAGCAUGCAGGACCCGGCACUACGUGGGCUCAGCAGCUGCUUUUGCGGGGACACCAGAGCAUG
rnacentral:sRNA from 1 species